rnacentral:rRNA from 1 species
CCUACGGGGGGCUGCAGUGGGGAAUAUUGGACAAUGGGGGCAACCCUGAUCCAGCCAUGCCGCGUGUGUGAAGAAGGCCCUCGGGUUGUAAAGCACUUUCAGUGAGGAAGAACGCCUGGUGGUUAAUACCCAUCAGGAAAGACAUCACUCACAGAAGAAGCACCGGCUAACUCCGUGCCAGCAGCCGCGGUAAUACGGAGGGUACGAGCGUUAAUCGGAAUUACUGGGCGUAAAGCGCGCGUAGGUGGCUUGAUAAGCCGGUUGUGAAAGCCCCGGGCUCAACCUGGGAACGGCAUCCGGAACUGUCAAGCUAGAGUGCAGGAGAGGAAGGUAGAAUUCCCGGUGUAGCGGUGAAAUGCGUAGAGAUCGGGAGGAAUACCAGUGGCGAAGGCGGCCUUCUGGACUGACACUGACACUGAGGUGCGAAAGCGUGGGUAGCAAACAGGAUUAGAUACCCUGGUAGUC